AAGCGCAUACGGUGGAUGCCUUGGCAGUCAGAGGCGAUGAAAGACGUGGUAGCCUGCGAAAAGCUUCGGGGAGUCGGCAAACAGACUUUGAUCCGGAGAUGUCUGAAUGGGGGAACCCACCUAACAUAAGUUAGGUAUCUUAAGCUGAAUACAUAGGCUUAAGAAGCGAACCAAGGGAGAACUGAAACAUCUAAGGUACC
rnacentral:rRNA from 1 species